rnacentral:rRNA from 1 species
UACGGGAGGCAGCAGUGGGGAAUAUUGCACAAUGGGCGCAAGCCUGAUGCAGCCAUGCCGCGUGUAUGAAGAAGGCCUUCGGGUUGUAAAGUACUUUCAGUCGUGAGGAAGGUGUUAAGGUUAAUAACCUUAGCAAUUGACGUUAGCGACAGAAGAAGCACCGGCUAACUCCGUGCCAGCAGCCGCGGUAAUACGGAGGGUGCGAGCGUUAAUCGGAAUUACUGGGCGUAAAGGGCACGCAGGCGGUUAAUUAAGUUGGAUGUGAAAUCCCCGGGCUUAACCUGGGAAUGGCAUUCAAGACUGGUUAGCUAGAGUCUUGUAGAGGGGGUAGAAUUCCAUGUGUAGCGGUGAAAUGCGUAGAGAUGUGGAGGAAUACCGGUGGCGAAGGCGGCCCCUGGACAAAGACUGACGCUCAUGUGCGAAAGCGUGGGGAGCAAAACAGGGAUU